CUGGAAAGCUCAAGACAAUACUGGGAGACAGCAGGAGGGCACUGGGCUGUUACAGAAAGCACUGGGAGUGUAGCAGGAGGCUACAGGGAGCAGCAGGGGGUACUGGAAUGGUGCCUGGGGGUCCCCAGACGGCAGCGAGGGGCUCCAGGCUGCGUCACACCAGGCUGUGGGUUUGGCCGGCAAGGGACGGGGCGUAGCAGGACGGCGUGUGGGGACAGGCGAGAGGCAUUUCUGCACUUCCAGGCAGGAGCUGGAGGCACAGGGCAGCGUUCGGCCGGCGGUGAGGGAUUGGAAUUGGAACCGGUGCCAUUUUCCGGUGCAGCGAGAGGAAGAUGAAGGUCCUGCUGAUGCCGGCGCUGCUGCUCGCCUGCGGCAUGCUCACAGCUCGUGGGAAGCACCCACACACGUUUGCUCCGGGGCUGGAAGGAAGCACCGUGGGAAACCUGACUGCCCAUGGCUGUGGCUCGGGAUGGGGCCGUGGUCGCGCUGCUUUCAUGGACAGGUGCUGCCUGCUCCGUGCCUGCUGCUACGCCAAGCUGGCCGCACGCCGCUGCCGCGUGGGACAAACCCAACGCCUCCCUGUGCCCCAGCCGGGGGUCCCUGCCUGCAGCUCCGGGACGCGGUGCCAGCGAGCAGCCUGCAGGUGCGAGCGUUUGGCUCUGCUGUGCCGGGCACGCAGCCAGGCGCUGCGCAGGUGUCGAGGCAGACGCUGCUGAUGGAGAAAGGCUCCUCGGAAUAAACCCACCUCCAUGCUGGAGGACAACCGCCCUUUUGUGAAGCUGCGUCAUUGGACACUGGGUGUGAGGAGGGCAGCGCAGAUGUAAUGUUUCUGCUCAGAAAAACAAGGGAGGAGCAGACACCUGUGCCUUGUCACAGCAGAGGGCGAGAUGAUGGAAGCAGUCUUGCUGUUGGCCUUCACCCCUUUUGGCUCAAGCUCCCCGUUUGUAAAUCACUGCACGGAGAUGUUGGCUCCCUCAGCUUCUUGCUUCGCUGCAGAAUCUUGUAUGUUGCUCCAAAAUAAAACCAGAGAGCACAAAGCUUCGGUCCUCUGU
rnacentral:lncRNA from 1 species